rnacentral:rRNA from 1 species
UACGAAGGGGGGCUAGCGUUGCUCGGAAUUACUGGGCGUAAAGCGCACGUAGGCGGCUUUGUAAGUUAGAGGUGAAAGCCCGGGGCUCAACCCCGGAAUAGCCUUUAAGACUGCAUCGCUUGAACACGGGGAGAGGUGAGUGGAAUUCCGAGUGUAGAGGUGAAAUUCGUAGAUAUUCGGAAGAACACCAGUGGCGAAGGCGGCUCACUGGACCGUUGUUGACGCUGAGGUGCGAAAGCGUGGGGAGCAAACAGG